GGUCAAGCGGUUAAGACACCGCCCUUUCACGGCGGUAACACGGGUUCGAGUCCCGUA
rnacentral:tRNA from 2 species